GACGAACGCUGGCGGCGUGCUUAACACAUGCAAGUCGAACGGAAAGGCCCUGCUUGCUGGGUGCUCGAGUGGCGAACGGGUGAGUAACACGUGGGUGAUCUGCCCCUUAUUUUGGGAUAAGCCUGGGAAACUGGGUUUAAUACUGGAUAGGACCAUGCUGUAGGGGGUGUGGUGGAGGGAUUAGUUUAGGUAAGGGAUGAGCUCGCGGCCUAUCAGCUUGUUGGUGGGGUAAUGGCCUACCAAGGCGUCGACGGGUAGCCGGCCUGAGAGGGUGGUCGGCCACAUUGGGACUGAGAUACGGCCCAGAAUCCUACGGGAGGCAGCAGUGGGGAAUAUUGCACAAUGGGCGGAAGCCUGAUGCGGCGACGCCGCGUGGAGGAUGAAGGCCUUCAGGUUGUAAGCUCCUUUCAGCCAUGACGAAGCCCUUGUGGUGACGGUAGUAGUAGAAGAAGCACCGGCUAACUACGUG
rnacentral:rRNA from 1 species